UACGUAGGGUGCAAGCGUUAAUCGGAAUUACUGGGCGUAAAGCGUGCGCAGGCGGUUUUGUAAGUCUGUCGUGAAAUCCCCGGGCUUAACCUGGGAAUGGCGAUGGAGACUGCAUUGCUGGAGUACGGAAGAGGAAGGCGGAAUUCCCGGUGUAGCGGUGAAAUGCGUAGAUAUCGGGAGGAACAUCAGUGGCGAAGGCGGCCUUCUGGUCCAGUACUGACACUCAAGUGCGAAAGCGUGGGGAGCAAACAGG
rnacentral:rRNA from 1 species